rnacentral:lncRNA from 1 species
UGGUGCAUAGCUUCCUCAAUGAGGACCUGUCUUGACAAUGGGAAGUGACACAGAUUCUAUUAAUGUUAGCUUGUUUUUAUUACCCAACAAGUCACCAUGCUUAAUUCAGCUGUCAUUCUUUCUAAAAUAAGAAUGCCAUUACUUGACAUUGCUUUUCACAGGGACUAUUUGACAGCCUUACAGAUCUCUAGAAUAAUUCCGCUUUCUUUCUUUGUAAGUUACAAGAGUUCAAAGUACAAGAGUUUAUCACUUGCUCUUGGUUAAAGUUUAUUUCUUUGUAUUAUUGGUGUGAUGAGUGUUUGAGGGAUUGAAUGAACAGUGCGUUAAACAUUCUAAGUGUAAAAUGUAAUUAUACAUAACCCUCCUCCUUCAUUAACCAACAUUAUCCACCCAUUUCCUCAAAAUAUAAUGUGACCCAAUAAGUAAAUUUCUAAUAUGCCUAUUUUGUAUGUCUUUGUCUGCCUUAAAGAAAAUACAAAUUACUGGAAAAAAGUUCAUUGAUAUAUUUCUUAAAACAUUAAAACAUGCUAAUAUGAAUUCAGUCUUCAAAGGUGAAAAAGAGAUUCCACAUAUAUAACACAUCUGAAUUCCUUUUACAGAAAUUAUUUUAAUUCAUUUAGUAUUUAUUUUUCUUCCCUUUACACUUAAAUUUUAAUGUUGG